rnacentral:rRNA from 1 species
ACGAAGGGGGCUAGCGUUGUUCGGAAUUACUGGGCGUAAAGCGCACGCAGGCGGCGUAUUAAGUCAGAGGUGAAAGGCCUGGGCUCAACCCGGGAACGGCCUUUGAGACUGGUACGCUGGAGUACGGAAGAGGGUAGUGGAAUUCCCAGUGUAGAGGUGAAAUACGUAGAUAUUGGGAAGAACACCAGUGGCGAAGGCGGCUACCUGGUCCGUUACUGACGCUCAUGUGCGAAAGCGUGGGGAGCAAACAGGAUUAGAUACCCUGGUAGUCCACGCUGUAAACGAUGAGUGCUGGAUGUCGGGAGGUUUACCUCUCGGUGUCGGAGCUAACGCGUUAAGCACUCCGCCUGGGGAGUACGGCCGCAAGGUUA